CGGAGGAUCCAAGCGUUAUCCGGAAUUACUGGGCGUAAAGAGUUGCGUAGGUGGCAUAGUAAGCAGGUAGUGAAAUCGUGUGGCUCAACCAUACUCACAUUAUCUGAACUGCUAAGCUUGAGGGCGAGAGAGGUUACUAGAAUUCCUAGUGUAGGAGUGAAAUCCGUAGAUAUUAGGAGGAAUACCGAUGGCGUAGGCAGGUAACUGGCUCGCCCCUGACACUAAGGCACGAAAGCGUGGGGAGCGACCGGGAUUAGAUACCCCGUUAGUCCACGCCGUAAACGAUGGAUGCUAGCUGUUAUGAGUAUCGACCCUCGUAGUAGCGAAGCUAACGCGUUAAGCAUCCCGCCUGUGGAGUACGGUCGCAAGACUA
rnacentral:rRNA from 1 species